UGGCGGCCAACAAAGAGAGGCGAGACCGCGAGGUGGAGCAAAUCUCAAAAAGCCGUCCCAGUUCGGAUCGCAGGCUGCAACCCGCCUGCGUGAAGUUGGAAUCGCUAGUAAUCGCGGAUCAGCAUGCCGCGGUGAAAUACGUUCCCGGGCCUUGUACACACCGCCCGUCACACCAUGAGAGUCGGGAACACCCGAAGUCCGUAGCCUAACCGCAAGGGGGGCGCGGCCGAAGGUGGGUUCGAUAAUUGGGGUGAAGUCGUAACAAGGUACC
rnacentral:rRNA from 1 species